CUUUAAAAAUCUGGAUCAAGCUGAAAAUUGAAACGACACACAUGUUAUGUGUGUUCGAGUCUCUCAAAUUUUCGCGACACGAUGAUGUUUUACGAAACAUCUUCGG
rnacentral:sRNA from 1 species